rnacentral:misc_RNA from 1 species
GGUGAAUUGUGAUACUUGGAUGAAUAUCCAUCUUCGUGAAGUUAUCUGUACGUCAAAGGAUGGAGAUAGAUUUUGGAGAAUGCCUGAAUGUUAUAUUCGUGGCAAUACCAUAAAGUAUCUUAGAGUUCCUGACGAGGUUAUUGAUAAAGUUCAAGAAGAAACAAAAAGCCGUGGAGAUAGAAAACCACCUGGUGUAGGUGGACGAGGAAGGGGAAGAGGAGGUAGGGAUGAAGGUGGUGCUGCUGGAAGACAGGGGAAAGGCAUUGGGCGUGGAAUGGAAGAUGCGGGCGCCAAAGGCCGAGGCAAAGGAGGACCUGGUGCCAAGUCUGGUGGAAAAGGUGGUGGCCGUGGACGUGGCUGAUCACCGUCAUUUAGAGAAAAAGAAGCCAGACGACAAGCUAGAUAUAUUGUAUCUAAUUUUGUUUGUACUUUCAAAUUAUAAAGCAACUUACCGGAGAAAAGGCCUGCUGCUUCCAGUUAUUAUUAAUUUAAGAUGGAAUGUAUGUAGGCUUGAAAAGCUCACUCUCUUUCCUUUACGAAGACAUAUGCAAGAGUUGGUGUCUUGAAAAUAUUUGACCCUCAGUAUGUGUGUUAAUUUUAAAUGAAAACUGAGCUAGCUUUCUUUUCCCAAUCCGAGAAGCUGAGGUUCUUGUCAAAUAUUUCUGUACUUGAGAUGAGAGAGGC